rnacentral:rRNA from 1 species
AGUGAACGCUGGCGGUAGGCCUAACACAUGCAAGUCGAACGGCAGCACAGUAAGAGCUUGCUCUUACGGGUGGCGAGUGGCGGACGGGUGAGGAAUACAUCGGAAUCUACUUUUUCGUGGGUGAUAACGUAGGGAAACUUACGCUAAUACCGCAUACGACCUACGGGUGAAAGCAUGGGAUCUUCGGACCUUGCGCGAUUGAAUGAGCCGAUGUCGGAUUAGCUAGUUGGCGGGGUAAAGGCCCACCAAGGCGACGAUCCGUAGCUGGUCUGAGAGGAUGAUCAGCCACACUGGAACUGAGAAACGGUCCAGACUCCUACGGGAGGCAGCAGUGGGGAAUAUUGGACAAUGGGCGCAAGCCUGAUCCAGCCAUACCGCGUGGGUGAAGAAGGCCUUCGGGUUGUAAAGCCCUUUUGUUGGGAAAGAAAAGCAGCAGGUUAAUACCCCGCUGUUCUGACGGUACCCAAAGAAUAAGCACCGGCUAACUUCGUG